rfam:Felis catus isolate Cinnamon breed Abyssinian chromosome A2, whole genome shotgun sequence.
GCCUGGGGGGCUCAGUCGGUUAAGCGUCUGACUUCAGCUCAGGUCAUGAUUUCACAGCUCGUGGGUUCGAGCCCCGCGUCGGGCU